GAUGAACGCUGGCGGCGUGCUUAACACAUGCAAGUCGAACGGAAAGGCCCAAGCUUGCUUGGGUACUCGAGUGGCGAACGGGUGAGUAACACGUGGGUGAUCUGCCCUGCACUUCGGGAUAAGCCUGGGAAACUGGGUCUAAUACCGGAUAGGACCACAUUUUGGAUGGUGUGGUGGAAAGUUUUUCGGUGUGGGAUGAGCUCGCGGCCUAUCAGCUUGUUGGUGGGGUAAUGGCCUACCAAGGCGUCGACGGGUAGCCGGCCUGAGAGGGUGUACGGCCACAUUGGGACUGAGAUACGGCCCAGACUCCUACGGGAGGCAGCAGUGGGGAAUAUUGCACAAUGGGCGCAAGCCUGAUGCAGCGACGCCGCGUGGGGGAUGACGGCCUUCGGGUUGUAAACUCCUUUCGCUAGGGACGAAGCGCAAGUGACGGUACCUGGAGAAGAAGCACCGGCUAACUACGCG
rnacentral:rRNA from 1 species